AAAAAAAAAUGUUUUGAGAAAAUGUCAAAAUUUGUCAUUUAAUUAUCACAUACAUUUUUUCAUUUAUUAUCUAUAUAGCGUAUUUCUCAAACAGGAAAGUUCACUUUCUACUCUUCCUACUAAAUCCCACAUGAUGAUGAUGAAAGCAUGUCAGCCCUGUCAGUGUCAACCCCACAGCAGAGCUAUCUAAUUUUGAAUUGAACAGAAUGUAAAAUAAGUGAAUUAGUUAUAAAUAUUAAAUAAUAAUAUGAAUAAAUAUUCUUUAUUUAGUUUGUUCUUUAUUCUCUUUUUUUUUUAUUAAUAAUCCCAUUAUUCUCUAUGAUUCUUUAUUCUAUAUUUCUGCUUUUUUUACUAUCUGUUCUUUAUUUUGCACUUUUUGUCAUUAUUUUUUAUUCUUAAACCCCCAUCUUGAUUCCAGACCCUCAAAUAUACGUAAAUGUACGAAAGCUUGCAUGGUACGUCGAACACAAAAACCCGGAAAUCUUUUCACCGUUAUCGUUUUUUAUACUAUGACGCAAAAUCCAUGGACGCUCACGCGAGCAUCUGUUGCUGUUUUUUUAAAAAGUUUUUUAGAAUGGACAGAGAUAGAUGAUACAAGGAACUUUGGUUUUUCAAACUGGUGAAUCAAAAAUAUAUUAUAAACAGAUAAAUUGGAAUGGGUGACUUGUCGAUUAACUUGAAGAAACCGGGGAACGAAACAUAGAAAAUUUAUGAAACGAAAGUCAAAGUGUUUUUGUUUUGAUGGAUAAUUUUACGUACCCUAAAAGCGCAACGAAAGCAUUUUCAACAAAAGUACAUUUUGUACAUGUACUUCAACAGAACAGAAUUCAUUUGAGGCCUUGCUUUCUAGAUUAUAUAAUGGAUUCAUAGAUUGUCAUAUUGAUUUAUGUGCAUAAAAGGAGCAGUAGUCAAUGAAUAAUUUUGUGAUGAGAGCUUAUUACCAUGGUUACCAAAUGAAAGGAAAGUGCAAUAUUAGAAUCACUGGUGUACAUGUAGAUGCGGUUGUCCGGCAAAAAGAACUGGUAUCAAAGAACUGAAAAGUAAAGAAACAGAACCAAAGAACAUUAAUUUUAGAUUAAUACAAUAUUGAACUCAAAGUCAAUUUAGUUGUCUUUCUUAAUCAUACAGGAUAUUUCCAAAAAAGCAGCUGCAUACACAUGCACCAGUAAUAGCCAGCAGUGAAGACAAUUAAAUAUCUGUGUAUGGUGAUAUAGCAAUAGAAAUAUCACAUACAUCAUAGGAAAAUAGAAAUGGAGUAUGUCAAAGAGACACACAUAAUGACAUAUGAAAAUAGAAUAUAGACAAUAGAAAUGGAGUAUGUCAAAGAGACACACAUAUGAAAAUAGAAUAUAGACAAUAGAAAUGGAGUAUGUCAAAGAGACACACAUAUGAAAAUAGAAUAUAGACAAUAGAAAUGGGGUAUGUCAAAGAGACACACAUAUGAAAACAGAAUAUAGACAAUUAAAUUGGGGUAUGUCAAAGAGACAAACAUGAAAAUAGAAUAUAGACAAUAGAAAUAGGGUAUAUCAAAGAGACAAACAUAUGAAAAUAGAAUAUAGACAAUAUAAUUUGGGUAUGACAAAGAGACAAAAAUAUUAAAAAUAGAAUACAGACAAAAGAAAUGGGGUAUGCCAAAGAGACAAACAUAUGAAAAUAGAAUAUAGACAAUAGAAAUGGUGAAUGUCGAAGAGACAAACAAACCAAAAUAGAAUAUACUAGACAAUAGAAAUGUGGUAUGUCAAAAAGACAAAAAUAUGAAAAUAGAAGAGACAAGAAGUAAAUAAAAAAAAAUUCUACUUGAUAUAAAAAUUAUGGAGCACUGUUAUUUUUCUGCAUAAAAGAAUGCCUGUA